UACGGAGGGGGCUAGCGUUGUUCGGAAUUACUGGGCGUAAAGCGCGCGUAGGCGGACCUGCAAGUCGGGGGUGAAAGCCCGAGGCUCAACCUCGGAACUGCCUUCGAUACUGCGGGUCUCGAGUCCGGGAGAGGUGAGUGGAAUUCCUAGUGUAGAGGUGAAAUUCGUAGAUAUUAGGAAGAACACCAGUGGCGAAGGCGGCUCAGUGGCCCGGUACGGACGCUGAGGCGCGAAAGCGUGGGGAGCAAACAGG
rnacentral:rRNA from 1 species